UACGAAGGGGGCUAGCGUUGUUCGGAAUUACUGGGCGUAAAGCGCGCGCAGGCGGUUCUUUUAAGUCAGGGGUGAAAGCCCAGAGCUCAACUCUGGAAUUGCCUUUGAAACUAGAGAACUUGGGUACGGGAGAGGUGAGUGGAAUUCCGAGUGUAGAGGUGAAAUUCGUAGAUAUUCGGAAGAACACCAGUGGCGAAGGCGGCUCACUGGCCCGUUACCGACGCUCAGGCGCGACAGCGUGGGGAGCAA
rnacentral:rRNA from 1 species